GGCUGUAUAGCCUAACUCAAGGCAUUUGAAUUGCAAUCAGACCAUGUGAUUUCACUACAACCA
rnacentral:tRNA from 1 species